GUUGGCGACCAAGGCGGAGAGGGCACACCCAGAUCCAUUCCGAACCUGGAAGUUAAGCUCUCCAGCGAUAUGGCAAGUAAUGGCGAAAGCUGUGAACGCCAGGACGUUGCUGACC
rnacentral:rRNA from 1 species